GCUUGCUUUGAUGGAUGGCGACCGGCGCACGGGUGAGUAACACCUAUCCAACCUGCCGACAACACUGGGAUAGCCUUUCAAAACAAAGAUUAAUACCGGAUGGGAUAGUUUUCCCCCAAGGCAUAAUUAAUAAAAAAUUUCGGUUGUCGAUGGGGAUGCAUUCCAUUAGGCACUUGGCGCGGUAACCCCCCACCAAACCUACGAUGGAUACGGGUUCUGAGAGGAAGGUCCCCCACAUUGGGACUGACACACCGUCCAAACUCCUACGGGAGGCAUCACUGAGGAAUAUUGGUCAAUGGACGAGAGUCUGAACCAACCAAGUAGCGUGAAGGAUGACUGCCCUAUGGGUUGUAAACUUCUUUUAUACCGAAAUAAAGUUAGCCACGUGUGGUUUUUUUGUACGUACCGAAUGAAUAACGAUCGGCUAACUCCGUGCCAGCAGCCGCGGUAAUACGGACGAUCCGAGCGUUAUCCGGAUUUAUUGCCUUUAAAGGGAGCGUACGCCGGUUGUUAAGUCAAUUGUGAAAGUUUGGGGCUCAACAGUAAAAUUGCAGUUGAUUCUGGCGACCUUGAGUGCAACAGAGGUAGGCGGAAUUUGUGGUGUAGCGGUGAAAUGCUUAGAUAUCACGAAGAACUCCGGAUUGCGAAGGCAGCUUACUGGAUUUGUAACUGCCGCUGAUGCUCGAAAGUGUGGGUAUCAAACAGGAUUAGAUACCGUGGUAGUCCACACAGUAAACGAUGAAUACUCGUUGUUGGCGAUAUACAGUCAGCGGCCAAGCGAAAGCAUUAAGUAUUCCACCUGGGGAGUACGCCGGCAACGGUGAAACUCAAAGGAAUUGUCGGGGGUCCGCACAAGCGGAGGAACAUGUGGUUUAAUUCGAUGAUACGCGAGGAACCUUACCCGGGCUUAAAUUGCAACUGACGGAACCGGAAACGGUUCUUUCUUCGGACAGUUGUGAAGGUGCUGCAUGGUUGUCGUCAGCUCGUGCCGUGAGGUGUCGGCUUAAGUGCCAUAACGAGCGCAACCCUUACGGGUAGUUACCAUCAGGUUAUGAUGGGGACUCUACCCGGACUGCCGUAGUAAGAUGUGAGGAAGGUGGGGAUGACGUCAAAUCAGCAUGUCCGUUACGUCCGGGGUUACACACGUGUUACAAUGGGGGGUACAGAAGGCAGCUACACGGCGACGUGGUGCUAAUCCCAAAAGCCUCUCUCAGUUCGGAUUGGAGUCUGCAACCCGACUCCACGAAGCUGGAUUAUGUUAGUAAUCGAGCAUCAGCCACGGCGCGGUGAAUACGUUCCCGGGCCUUGUACACACCGCCCGUCAAGCCAUGAAACCCGGGGGUACUAGAAGUACGUAACCGCGAGGAG
rnacentral:rRNA from 1 species